GCAAAACAACGUCAGGUCAGCACAUCAGUAUCUAAUCAAAAGGACAAGGAAAUUUACAACUGUGGGAGCCUCAUACCUCUGGAUGCCAUCAAUCCAAAAUCCAGGAAAUAGCGAUUCCUGUCAAUCAGAUGGUCAAAAUGCCGGAGCUUCAGAGGCCUUUUGUAGAUGUCCUCUAUCACCUCGAACUCCUCCCUGCUGAGCUCGAACCUUGUACUACAAUCUGCAAUAGAAGCCCCGACAGUUAGAAAUUUUCUAAGUGUUCAAUCCAGAAGUACAAGCAGGGCUGGGAGACUCACGAACUUCGUAGUACUGGGUCGGCACUGUGCAAAAAAGGGCCUUGUCCCUCUCCACUGCCUGCCAUUUUCCCCGCACCCAGUACCAGGACUCCUUCUACCCCUUAAUGGAGGAAGGCAGUCCCACCACAAAGGGUGCGUGAGCCCCCCAAGGUGUAAUAUAAUACCACCCCCGGACUCCUUCCCUAUGAUCCGGGGCUGGAAAAGAGUCAUGAAUACAUGGAGAGGCAUGUCCUCCCCAAGUGACACCUCCUUCCACAGGAAGUAUGAGCCGACCAACUGGCUCCACCCAUUUGGCAGAAUCUGGGUCGGCGACAACAUAAAAUUCCUCAGCACCGCCCUAAAGAAGGGGUGCAGAGGAAGACGCAUACCUGCCUUAAACAGGUAUUCACUGACAGCCACGCAUUCGGAUCUCGGAUAGUAAGCUUGCUCAUUUGGUUCGGGAACUAGCAUCUCUAUGGAAUGGGGGACACUGUAUCUCUCCCUAAUCUCCCCUAACCUCUUCCACGUCAUACUUGAGGGCACCCUAGACGCCCCCACUCUUCAGUAUAGUCUACUGGGUCUUCGGUCAUGACAUAACUACAUAACUAUCAGCCUCGGCAUCUCCCCUCUGACUGACCCCAUAAUCUAUCGACGCCACCGUCGCCAACUCCCUACCCGAGGUGGACUCCAUCUCACAGAAUUAACAACAAAAAUAAGGUUUUCCUGCGAACGAUACCUAAGGGAAGAACACUACGAACGGAGAUAGGCCGAAAAAUCAAAAAACGGACUGCCUUGACGCCGGAAAGUUCAGAAAUUUGAGAGAGAAUCAAAUUGCUAAGUUUCAAAAGUCUUAAAAAUGGGAUUUUUUCACCUUUUAUAGAGGUCCAGGACGAACCCUAGCUGUCAGAUCAAACCUCAGUCAAUCUGAGCCCUUCAUUGAAGAACAAAUUCGAGGCGUUGAAUUCAAACGGUUUUUCAAACCUACGCCUCAGAUUCAAGCGUGCCUCCCACGCGCCCCAUCUGACGCAUCUGCUUCUAGAAGCUCCAGCUGCCAUCAUAAUUGUAUUUUUAUUUGACGGCAGCAGGCGCCUUGGAAGUCGUAACGGUUCAGCCACCUUUCCUCGAAAACAAGCACAAAACAUCAAAUCAUUGACACGGCUAUCAAGGCACAAUCAUUACCAAACCACCUCGGCUUCUCCUUUGACAUUCAGCCAUCAAGCCUCACAUGUUUGGUUUUCCAACAACCUCGGUUUCGUCUUCAACAUUCAUUCAUCAAGCCUUAUAGGUUCGGUUUUCCAACAACCUCGAUUUCGUCUUCAACAUUCAUUCAUCAAGCCUCGUAGGUUCGGUCCCCCAACCACCUCGGCUUCUCCUUCAACAUCAACACAGCCUCGGUCUCUUCAUCGUUCACCCACGGCAACACAUUUCUAAUUCCAACUCUGAUAUAAAUAUCUACACUUGGGCUUCAGGGACUAUUAUUUGGGGUUCAAAAACUCUUUCAAUUUUUACUUCAUUAAAGUCCACGCAUUACAUGAAUAACCAUACUUGGACUUGGGGGACUGUUGUUGUGUGUGGUCACACUUGGCCAAUUCACCUAGGCCAUUAUGGCCCACUCAGGGCCUGAACCACGUGGCAUUCCAACCGAGGUGGCAUAGAUUGCCGAGGUGGUCAACGCCGAAGCCUUUCAAGCCGAAGUCCCACUAGCCGAGGCUCCUUUUUACCGAGGCCGGUAAACGUACCCCAGGUCCACACGCCGAAGCCCAUGAACUGAAGCCAUGAUGCUGAAGCUAAGUAAAGAUAGCUAAAGCUCUCAAGCGGAAGUAUCGUGUGAAAUGGCCGAAGCCCCGGAGCAGACGCAGGAGCCUCCGAACCAUGAAGGAGUGUCCUCCAUGUUCACUUCUCCCAAGAAAUCGUCUGCAUAAAGAUCUUAUUCGAAUGAUUGAUGGAACGUUUGUCAUAAGUAUAAAGGUCAAGUCUUGUCACUAGUAUGGAGGCCCUGCACAAAGCAAUAAAUGCGCAGCAAGUCAAGCCCCAUGCCUAGGAUGGGAUGUUUGAAUUAAAGAGAUGAGGGCACGUGCCACCUCAUCCAAGGGCUCCCAUUUCACAUGUACCACUAUAAAUACUUCCCUUGUGUAACAUCAAAAGGCUAAUGCAAGAAUCAAUAUAAAGAACUACACUUUACUCAACUCUCUCUCAUUUACUUACAAUAUACAAAUCGAGUUUAUACACAUUUACAUAUGCAUUUACGAACACCGGUUGGUAAUUAUUGUACAAUCGGAUCACGAACAACUCGUCGGGUUCCCAACGUCACUGUCCCGCGUCGUUAGGCUAUUCCCACGCCCUUAUAACCGCUCAUUUUAAACUGUCUACGUGUUUUAGCGUGUUGGACAUUCGCCCACGUGAGCGCGGUGGGACCGGCAUCUGUUGGCAAUACUUUUUGGGGUCAACAGGUGGCAUGUCUGAUCAUCCCGAGUUUCUGAACUUGAUUGUGAAAUAUGAAUUUUGUUACUCACUUGAAUAUAUCAUAGGCUACAAAUGCUGAACUGAAGGAGAAUGCCACAGUAAUAUGGUGAUGCCACAGUAAUAUGGUGAGGCCAAUGGUUCCUUUGAAAUCUGAUUUCAAUUAUGUUGUUAACUGGAAAGAGUUGAAAUAUACAGCCUAUAUAUUGUAUUUUUCCAUCCUUCGCACCUAGUCCAACUCUGUGUGUUACCUUACUAUGCCUUGCUACAGCGAAUUUCUCUGAACAUGGUUGGAUGCUAACGAAUGCCUUGUUUGCGCUUUUAUAUGAUUGUUG
rnacentral:lncRNA from 1 species